rnacentral:rRNA from 1 species
UACGAAGGGGGCUAGCGUUGCUCGGAAUCACUGGGCGUAAAGCGCACGUAGGCGGAUUCUUAAGUCAGGGGUGAAAUCCCGGGGCUCAACCUCGGAACUGCCUUUGAUACUGCAAAUCUCGAGUCCGGAAGAGGUGAGUGGAAUUCCUAGUGUAGAGGUGAAAUUCGUAGAUAUUAGGAAGAACACCAGUGGCGAAGGCGGCUCACUGGUCCGGUACUGACGCUGAGGUGCGAAAGCGUGGGGAGCAAACAGG